AUGGGAUUCCAUCAUACCUCAUGUCAAUGUUUCUUUUCAAUAAAACCUUUAUUGAAAAGAUGGAUAAACACCGUAGACGAUUCUUCUGGAGGAGGAAGAACAAGAAACAUGGUUAUCAUAUGGUUAAAUGGGCGAGAGUUUGUCGAUCUAAGAAGAUUGGAGGGUUGGGUGUUAAAGAUCUUCAUAAGCAGAAUGUAG
rnacentral:rRNA from 1 species